AGUCGGCAGUCGGCACAUAGCCACAUAGACAUAGGUCGGACUCGGAAGUUUAGCAAGGCUGUCUGGUUUUCCGUCACGUUUUAUUUUGUUAUUCGAGUGCUCAACCGUUGUAUCUGUGUUACGCUUGACUGUCCUGCCACCCUACAUGUAGUUGAAACAAAGCAGUCAAAUUAGGAAGCAAUUGAAACAGCCCAGGAUUCCCAGAUCACGUCAGUGCAAGAAGUGAGGCAUAGGCUGUUUUGCCUGCAUUGGAUAUUUAAUCCAAGUUUGAAAAAGAAGGAAUUUCUUCCAUGAAAUUUUAUUUUGUGCAUCUUUAUUGGAUCAGAUAUGGAACUAGAGUGAGCGUGUGAGACUGUGUACAUGCUGUGUACCUGAUGAAGUGAAUGAGAAUGUUCACUUAUACAAGGUAAACGUUACGAACGUUGCAAUUAGUGGGAUCAUACAUUAAAUUCGCCCACAAAAAGGAACCCUAAUGGAUAUGGUGGAUUGUAUCCUUUUUCAUAAUUCAUAUGUGUUAAUGAGGUUGCUAAAUCGUAAACUAUUAUUUUCAACGAAACCAACGCUUCACACCCCUUUUCCUAUCGCAAGGGAAAGUCCUCAAAUCCCCCACGAGAUGCCACUGCAGUUUAAUAACAACAAUGACUGCAAUGGUUAGUGCACAGUUAGUUGCAGUCUUUCACGUUUCGAUGUAGUAUAAAGUGAACUAUUAAACAUUUCAAAAAGUUUGUUAACCAGCAUAAUGUGGUAAAGCAGAUUAAGUGUGAAACCAACAUUAUAGUGAGAUCCUCGUGAAAGGAAAAUAGCAUGAUCCAGGCUGUUCUUCAAUUGCAAAGAAAGAGAAUUAUGAUUGAAACAAAUGCAAAAUAUCCAACUGGAAUUCUCUCCAUAUUUGUGGUAAUUUCGGAAAAUAUUCUUUCCAGAGAAUAACACCUUAAAAUAAAUAACUGUGGUUGUGAUAAUGUAGCAGUAUUGCUUGAAUCCGUCGCCACCUUUUCAUAGACUGACCCAUUGAAUGGUGAAACUGACGAGAGAAUGCUGUUAUUCAAGACUGCUAAAUUGUUUAGUUGUUAGAUAUAUUACAAGUGCAUAUCUGGGCUCCCUUCUUUUCUGUGGCCCCGUUUCCCUAACUAACCACUAACCAACGCCCGCCGGUGGUCACUCACCCGCUGUGAAACCAGGAG